AAGGUCCUAGCUUAAUUAAAGCACCUGGGUUGCAUUCAGGAGAUGUGGGGUAAUAGCCUGCGGAUCUUA
rnacentral:tRNA from 1 species